UUUUAGUGAUUCUGAAGUUAUGAUUUAAUUUUAUUUAAGUUUAAGUUCAUAUAUGAGUAAGAACUUUGCCAGUUACUCUUACAAUAUAAACUGUAUUUGUUUUUUCAUAGAAUAGUUUCUGUCACAUUUUUACUGCUUAAUUUUUUGCCAUUCCGGAAUAUCUCUCGUCCGGAAGUUGACACAAUUUCGACCUUGAGCACGGCUCACUUCGCAGCGCCGUACCAGCGCGAUAACAACAAUAGCGGAUCGCAUAAAUUACAGCGCUGUUCCAUUAGCAUGUAAAUGCAGGCGCACCACCAGCCACGCCCCCAACCACUCGGUUUUUGCCCCACGCAAAAAGUAGAUGCGACAGUGACAACGCUCAUAUUUUACUCUGCACACAUUGCAUAUUUUAUUUAAUUUAUUGCCGCACAUAUUUUGAUGGCAAUGCAUGUGGACGGGGCACGUGUUUCGGUUGGUUUGAAUUGGAUUGGGACUGGAACCGCAAGCUUAGAUUGUGCUGUAUAGGAAUUGAAAGUGUGUCAGUUGGACGCAGUUGGGCUCGGGCAUGGUCAUGGCAUCCACAUACCCAUCCCGUGUUCGGCGCGUGUUGUUGUUUGUCCUGAUAUACAUUUCAAACGCUCGACAAACAGUGGUUAAAUAUAGGGGAAAAUAAAAUACAUAGAAAGAAGAGCAUGUAUGUAAUUAUUUGUAUUUUAUAUUAAACAAAAAAUAAAAUACCCCCUUUUUGUGUAAAAAGAUUUAGUAUUGUCAAAUUAAUGGAUCACACUUAAGCGGAUUAAUCCAUCAACUGAAACUACUUAAAAUUGCUCACCUACAGUCGUUUAUAGUUUUACAACAACAGAUAAAUAAUUUUGUAAUUUUACCCAAAUAAACUAGAAUUAAUUUAAUUUUCAUUUUUGCUACUUUUCCUACAGGUGGCAAAUCAUAUAAUUUUGCAUUUAAGUCUUAAGAAAGUUUAGGCGGAAUUUUUUGACUUUAAAUUCUUAAAUUACUUAAUUUCUUUGUGUGUACCUUGCGCUGUUAUCGCUCAACAGUCGACGAAACAAUUUAAAUGACAUCUGAACAAUGUUUUGCCACUGUUCGGCCACAGUGUUUUGCGAUUUAUUUUUGUUGCUGUAGGGUUUCGCUCGCUGGCCAUAUAUUUCAAAGAAACGACAGCCGUGGGAGCCAUGCAAAUGACCCAUUCCAACAAAGCUAGCCAAUUGGUCACUUGAUACACAUUUCGACUCGUUCGUUCGCCACCACAACUCCAUUUUCUUCCUGGAUUGUCUGUCUUUUUUAUUUUUGUGCCGGCAAUGUUUGUCCAUUGCUUUAACUAAUUAAAAUGCUGUUUGGCCAGUGCCACUUGCAGCUGUCUCCUCGUCGUCAUAGUCAUCGUCGUCAUCAGAGUCAUCCACGCGACUUUGGCCAAGCCUACGUUGGCUUCUUGGCCGCCUUCUUCAAAGCCAAAGUCAGUUGGCAAACUCAGAGUUUGCUGGCCGGCCAGCACUUUGCAUAAUGCAAAAUAAAGUCCCAACGGUGGCUUGCAGUUGGUUUUCGUGCCGCCGCCGAAUGUGGGUUAAAUGCUUUUUGCGGCUUUUUGUAACCACAGCAGCACAGAGCGACUGAGUUAAAUUUCUUGCCCGGCUUUUGUUUGUCCAAUGGAAAUUUUCAAUUUGCCGCAAAAGUUUUUCAUUUAAUUUAAUUGAAACACUCAACAAAUUGCGAAUGCUAAUGCAAAUGAAAACGAUGAAAAAAAAAACACUACGGAAAAUUAAGAAAAUAAUGUUUCCGAGAGUGAUAAACUAAAAAUAAAGUCAAUUAUUUUGCAAUUAAGAGCAGUUGACUCUUUGCGGUGGUGGCACUACUAAAUGCAAUUGAGAGUGCAGAGUGGCGCCUGUGUGGGCGGUGGUUGGGGUCAAUUGGCGUGGCCAACUAAUAAGCUUUUGAGUCGUAAAAAGACUGGGAUACUCGAGUGCUGCCAUUAAUCUCGGCUAUUUGCGUUGAAUAGCCGCCGACGAACCUUAUCUCAACUCAGUACAAAAAGAAACCAUAUCAGUGCAUAUAAAUAAUUGAUGUAAACGCUUGCGGCCUGUUGGUUUUCCAUAUAGCGCUAAAUAAACAAAGGAAGUGCAUUACAAAUACGCCCUGCAGUGCGUCAUAUUUUUGGAAGCGUUGCCCGUUUAUCGUUGAUUUAAAUCGGUUUAUUUGUCAUUUCAAUUUGACCAUAAAAACAGACUCUUUUCUUUUUUCUGCUGGUCAGUGGGCGAUAUCGGGCUAACUGCAAUUUGAAUUGUAAAAGCCGCAAACGAGUUUGUUGCUCUCCGUUUGGCUGGUGAAUAAUAAAAUAGCCUGCGGAGAGACAGGCUGGUAAAUAAACUUGUUUGCUGCUAAAAACUGCUAAUAAUGACAAUCGAAUUUCCGCCUAGCAUCGAGCAGUUUAGUUGACUUAACUAUGUCAACCCGAUAAGAUUUGCAUUUGCAUCACAAAGAGGAGGCUGUCUCGUCUGUCAGUCAAUUAUUUGUGCUGACACUUUGUGCGGUUGGGAACUGCAUGGGUAAUUGGCAGGCCCGAACAUGGUUUGCUGCACACGUGGCGUAUGCGUAAUGCUUGUUGCCCACUGCAUGUUAAUGCGUUGGCAAACAGCAUUAACGCCAAAUCCGCGUUGAGAAUCGAGCGAAACAGACUUUGACCAUAGACACCGCAAAUACCCGAAACCCUCUGCACAACUUAAUGGCUACGAUUGGCGCUGCAGCAAUUUGCUGAUUUGGAGGUCCCAAUGCCAAAAAUGCCGCAUUUAAUUGCAGCACCCUGUGGCAUGGCUAGUGGUAGUGGUAAGCGCCAAAAUGCAGUGCUAAUAUUCUCAUAAUUGAAUUUUGUCGCUGUUAAGUGUGUGCUUUGCAACGGAAGCACCGGGCCUGAAUGAUGAAGAAAUCAGUCGGAAAAGAUAAGCGCUAAUAGAAGUGGAGUAAGCGUUCAAGAAUGCUUGACGUUUGAGUCAACAGAAAAGAGGAAUGGAAAUAAGAUUAUGACGGGAACAAUGAAAAGCUUGCGUUCAAAGAUUCCUUACUGAUUGGCCAUUGUUCUUGCCAGUUGCUAAGUAAGUUCUCAACAAACUUAUUCAAAGCUUUUUCGGCUUAUCGGUUUUGGUUUUGGCCAAGAAAAACAGAGAAGCCACUUGCCACCAACAAUUAGCCCAAGUCAUUGGCAUUUUCCGACAUUGUGGGUUCCGUUUUUAAGCCCCUCAGACGACAUAUGUGCAUAUAAUGCCGGUAAAACCUUGGUAAACAACAAACUGGCGCCAGACAACAGUUGCCCCUAGAAAUACGCACAGAGCAAUUCAUUCAUGGAACUUUUGGCCAGAUUGUUGUUCACGCUUCAUUUGGCUAUUAUUUUCUACCACGCUUCAUUUGCUGGCUUUUCUGUGCCUGCCGCUUUUGGCGUUUUGGGGCAGGCAGCAGCGCUAAUUAACAGUUGGUCCCAAAUCGCAUACAUUAACGUUGAUAUAUUUAUUGCCAUAAUUGUGCGCUGCCUGGCCAUAGUUAUAUAUAGAUUAAAGGCAUUUAACUAUAAGCUUCGAUUGCCUCACUUCUGUUGGAGGGGCAAACGAAAAACAAAACCAAAACAAAAAUAAAUAAAUAAAAAAGGCCAGAGCGAAAAGUAAUGAAUAAACAAUUUGAGUAUUGUGUGUACUUUGGAAUUAGCGUAGUGCAAAAUGUGAGGGGCUGUUUUGGCACAGAUUGCACAAUUUAAAGUCGCACCUUAGCACUUAAGUAAUAUAGCAAAAGCAGAGUUAGAUUUUAUUACACUAGUGAUUGGUGGUAUCCUGCGGCGAGGACAUGGUUUUGUAGCUAAUGAACAAAGAUUUCCCAAGCAUGGAGAGCCGAACAACUUCAUUGGGGCAAUAAAACAAAGCAAUUAAAAUGGCUGCCCGGAACCGGCAGACGUAUAUGGGUCAGGCUGGCAAAAGUUUUGGCCACUUGUCGGCCAGCUGGAGUGGUAGUGAAAGGCCAUUACAAUGCCAAUCGGCAAACUAAAGUGGCAGCUCCGCUAAUGCAACCGGGGAUGGGUAUGGGGAUGGCAAGUACUCUAAACUUUUAGUUGUGGAUGCAAUGGAGGUUGCACAAAAACUGCACAGGGUUGACAGACAGAGACCCGUAUUCCUUUUCCCUUCGAACAAUCCUCCCCGAAAAGCACUCUCACUUCAAAUUACAUUUAUAAUAUGCAAUAACGAGACGUAGCAUUUAAGCAGAAUGAGUCAGCGACGCUGUUUACGUAAGGAUUUCUCCGUUUUGUUGUCAACAUUUUCCCUUGCCUUGUUUUGUUGUAUCCAUCCAGCGACUGGAGCCGUAAAUUAAACAACAUUUCUGUCACUUGACUUGGGUAUUCAUUCAUUAAUCAGGCCUCCCCCGUCCAUAGAAAUUGAAAUUGUCGCUACACAAUAAAGCUAAAUGGCAACCCAAGAGAUAGCAAGUUGGACACAUCAGAGGCGUACUCGAGAGUUGGGUGCGAUGGAGGGAAAUGUAGGAAAAAAUCCUCCAGCCACGACACAGACCACCCACUCACAGAUGGCAACACUUUCCAUUGCGUAAAUUGCCUGGGCGCCCAUCCAAACGUGCCAUUUGAGCUCUGCCAUCGAUGAUAAAUGUUUGCUGCAUGUUGCACAAGGCUUUCCAAUCGACUAUCAAUGAUGGACUCCAAGAUACCAAGGGGCGAAGCAUGUUUGCCCUGGGGGAAAAGAACCAUAAAAGUGACUUACAAUGCCUGGAAACUUUCAGAUCUAUACAAGUUCUUGUUUUUCUGUAAUUCGGAAAAAUGCAUAAAAUAUUUAUUUCAGUUCCAAACUAACAAGCUUAUACAUUUUAAAUAUACCAAAUAUUAAUUAGGAAAUCUAAAAUGUAAGUUACUCAAUUGCUUAAAAAAUUUUAAUGUAAGAUUUGUUAACCAUUGAUUUGGCCGAAAAUUUUAGAAAGCAUUUGAUUAUUUUCUAGGUGAAAGGCUAAAUGGCUCAUAAUAAUAAAUUAUGUUUGUAAAUGUUGUGUACUACAAUAUAGACAAACAUACAAAAAAUAUUAACCACCAUUCAUUGGGCGGUUAAAGUGCCCUAAUGGCUUUUCUCUAUUUUCCUAGUCCUGCCGCAAAACGAAUUAAGCAAAUUGCUGAAUUUAUGAAUAUUUAGCUAGAGCUCUAAAUAGACCCGCAUUACGAGCAUUUUCGCUUUCACCUCACGCCUUUUGAGGUAGACACGAAAUCCCUGACCUUUGCGGUUGCCUCCGCUCUUCCCCCCCAUGUUAAUUACACAGCCCGCGAUCUCUGGAUUUUCCCGGGGCUGCCUACUACCACCUACCAUUUCCACCUUUUCCACACAAAGAGCCCCAUGGAAUUUCCUUUCUGGCAGCGACAGCUUCGUUAGCAGGUGGCUGUCAAAUUUAGGUCAGGCACUAAGUGCAAGUGAGUGUUAUGUAAAUUAUGGUGCGCUGCUUAAAAGGACCUGCAAGGUCUGCCCAUGCCACAUUCUCGUCCCAGUUUAAUUUUUAGGAGUAUUCCGCUGCUGUAUGGUGUGUAUUUGUUUGCAUUCAUCUUUUGAGCAAAUGGAAAACUAACUGAAAAUAACAGCACCACCGCCACGCCCAUUUGACAGCCCGUUAGUUAAACUAAGCGGCACUUUUUUCUUUUUCUUCAUCUUUUUAUUUGACACCCCUUUCCCCUCAACCCGUGUUUUAAUUUAACCAUUGGUACUGGCUGUUGCCAGCUGACAAAGCUGAAAUGUGUGGAUAUGGUGAGUACUUUGUUACUCUGGGGAUCCCAGAACAAAUGAUGGAGCUGACACCAACAGCAGCAGCAUGGAAGUCUUAGAAGAAGAAAUGUUAUUCUAGUUGCUGGGUAACCGCAGAUUAUAUCAUAACACAGCUGAAGCGCUCGGCAUUGCCGCCGCCCAUGCCACAUGCCAUGCCCAUCCCCCAGCCACAAAGCCCCACUUUAUGCAGCGGAUCGGCCAUUGACCAUGGCGAAGAGCUCCGCCAAAGCGAAAUGUAAAUACGGCACAAUAACAAGACGAGCUGCGUAAAAGUGCCUGAUACCCAAGUACACACAGUUGCCGUCAGAAAAAGAGAAAAAUAAUUGUAAAUCCCUUUUAAAUCCUACUGUUAGAAGGAACUUUUCUAUGAUAUUUUUAUGUUUUAGAUAUUACAAAGCAAAUUGAAUUUGGAAACAUUGUUUAGGGUUCACCACAAAUUUAAAAGUUUAUAUUAUUUUGAUCGUUAAAAGAAAUUGUGUAGGCAAUAACCUUUCAAUGUAGUUUUAAAUGUCUGUAAUAACUCUUUCAAUAUUUACAAUAUCAUAAAAUAAUUGAUAAAAUAUGUAUGAAAUUUUAAUAAAUGUACUAGAGAAAAUAUGAGAAUGGGAAUUUAAAAGAUUAGGAGUUGGGAAUAUACCCAGUGGAAAAAAGGUUGAUAGAAUAACUAUUUUUCCUACUGAGCUUUUGUUAGGUAACAAAAGUACAAACAAGUUUGGAAGCUGACAAUUGUUUUUUCUUUUGUCUGACCCCCCUAAAGACUUAAUUUUUUAAUAGUCAAAUAAGAAAAAACAUAUUAUUUUCACAGCGCUCUGAUUGUGACUCCCAUUGUAUUUAUUUAUAGCACAAGCCCCAGCACUUUUUCCCCUUUUCCACAAAACAUAACGCACAGGAAGAGAAGGCGCACACACGAGUCAACAAUCUCAUAAUCAGUUGAAUUUCAAGAGGCAAAGCCAGCACAUGGGCAAAUACAGUGAAUACAGAGGGGGGGCGACUUGUCUCGAUGGCAAUUUCACUUAAUGAGUGGGGCCUGUGGGGCAGACAACCGAUAGACACAUAGGCUGCACAACUUGCAACAAUUUAACAUGCCAAUAAAACGCAAUAACCAAAUUUAUCUGAUUCUGGAGCAAGGGCCAAAAGGGCAAAUUACUUUAUGGGCGUGGCAUGGAGAGCGUGACGCAACAUGGGCUUAUAAUCAUGAUCGUCAAACAAAAGGCAGGAAACUGCCUGCCCGGCUUACAAUUGCUGACCCAUUUCAGAGUUGAGGUGAGUUGAUGUGAACCGAGCCGACCAAAAAUUGUUUGGCCAAUGCAAUGAAUUAAUUAUUUCCCCUCGUCAUGUGCAGUACCUUUGCCUCUUGGGUGCGUCCAGCAUUUGUGCUAAAAAUAUCAAACUACACACA